rnacentral:rRNA from 1 species
UAAUACAGAGGGUGCAAGCGUUGUUCGGAAUUACUGGGCGUAAAGCGCGUGUAGGCGGUCUGGUAAGUCGGUCGUGAAAUCCCUGGGCUUAACCCAGGAACUGCGAUCGAAACUGUUAGACUUGAGUAUCGGAGGGGAUGGCGGAAUUCCUGGUGUAGAGGUGAAAUUCGUAGAUAUCAGGAGGAACACCUGUGGCGAAGGCGGCCAUCUGGAAGAUUACUGACGCUGAGACGCGAAAGCGUGGGGAGCAAACAGGAUUAGAUACCCUGGUAGUCCACGCCGUAAACGAUGAGUGCUAGGUGUUGCGGGUAUUGACCCCUGCAGUGCCAAAGCUAACGCGUUAAGCACUCCGCCUGGGGAGUACGGUCGCAAGAUUA